rnacentral:lncRNA from 1 species
UCCCACCCCAAGUCAGGGUUGCAGCAUAGGGCGAUUUUGCAUAAAUAGAUUGACCCUCUCAGCCAAACUGCGCGGCGCCCCCGCUGUCGCCCAACACGGUCUGGUCCAAGAUUCCGAAGUGGCGAAAAUGGGGGCGCGAGGUCGCCGAGGGCCGGGAGGGGCGAACAAAACCAACCCCCCAUCCGUAGAAAGGAGCCGGGGUCCUACCUUCACUCUCUCCCGCGCGCUAACGGCGUUUCUAACAAUUGGAAAUCCUAGCAGUAAAGUUCUCCACACUGGACAGCGCAGUCCCUUGGUGCAGAGUACCCAGCGCGGCGGACGACGACACGGAGGAGGCAGCAGCCGCGGCGGCGACCACCAGCGAGCGGGUGAGCGCGACGGCGGGACCCGCAGCCGCUUGCACGGCGCAGCCUCCGCCCCCGGGGCCCGGUGCGGUCCCGCUGGUGGCCCCAGGCGAGGCGUGUGCACCGGCGGUCGCGGGACCCCGAGUGCGCCCGAUGAGGCUCUCAAUGGAGAAGGGCGAGCGUGCGAGCGCUGCGGUGCCCGGGCCUCCCGCCUUGACUGCGGCCGCCUGC